rnacentral:tRNA from 1 species
GGGAAUAUAGCUCAGUGGUAGAGCAUGUGCUUGGAGUGCAUGAGGUCCUGGGUUCAAUCCCCAGUGCCUCUG